rnacentral:misc_RNA from 1 species
UUAAGCUAAAUAAGCAUGCAACACAUGAACACUAAAAAAAAAAUUGAAACAACAGGUAGAGAUAACAUAGUGCAGUGUACCCUAAAUAUGGGGGAAAGAAGUUAAGGCCCAUUUGGAUAGAUAAGGAUUUAAAAUGCAAGGGUAGUUAAAUAAUAAUAUUCACAAUGAAAAGGAAAAACUUGGUAUUAUGCUUUGACCUUCUAAAAAUUGGCUCCUGAUCUGCUAAAACAAGGAACUUCACCCAGUUGAUGGCAGAGUCACAAAAAUUCAAGUUGAAAGUUCUCAAGAAGCUAGAUUGCAUGGAAUCCAUACAAAGUUAACUUAUGCUUCAUCAUAUUCAAACAGGAAAAGGCAAUAUUAAUUCGUUAAUAUACCACG